rnacentral:lncRNA from 1 species
UAAACUUGUAACUUGUGGCUAGUUCUGAUGUUACUGAGAUAAAGAACUUACACACAUACUUGUCAACAUAUAUAUGCUUGAUCUGUCCAUAGCUGGAACACCCGCCUUCCACAUCAUCUUAGUUAAUAUCCAAAUCAAAUUUUGGAACAACUUGUAGGAAUGUAGGAUAAACAAAUGUUUGUCAAUUCAGGCUCAGAAUCAAAAGUUGGGCCAAUGGUGGCAAGGAUCCUGAAAAUCAAAGAACCCAGAAAUGAAGUGAAGUAGAUAAAGAAUCAAAGAUAAAUGGCCAAUAACAAACUGUAUAAACUAUCAUAUCCUAAGUUUCAGCGGUAGCUACUUCAUGCAUUGCACAAUUUAGGUGUAAACGACCAAUGGCAAAUUAAUCCAAAAUGCAGCACCAGGAAAUACCAAAACAAAAACAGCAGAUUCACGCGCUUUUCCAGAGGUAGAAGUUAUCCAGCUGCUUGUUCUUCAUUACCAUCAAAAAGCUUCAAAGCUUGUAUAACUGCAUCUCUACUGAACCCGAGUUCAACAAGCUUCCCGAUUUUGGCUUCAAAUAGCUCCCUGAACUCACAAACAUACAUAAACAGAGUAAGUAAGUAAGAAAUUCAUUUUCCGAUUAGAUUAUAUUUGAAUUUAUGUUUAACUCAAUUCAUUAUAAACACUAAAAAAACGAAUUAAACAAAGAAGUGUACAUGUGUAGAACUGCCACUAACAGGUCCUGCAAGUUGAACAAAACAAUGCAAAUACUAAUCAGUGUUAUCCUUCCAUACUAGGGGUGUAAACAAGAGUCAGGCCGCUCAAGAGCUAAUGGAGAUCGGUUCAUUAAUAGUUCGAAAAGACCCGUGUAAACUGUAAAAUGAAACAGGCUGGCCCAUUUAAACUGCAGAAUGAAAUAGGCUGACCCAUUUAAACUGUGAAAUGAAACAAGCUGACUUAUAUAACCUGUUUAAUCAAACAAGUUGACACGUCAACCCAUUAAAAAUAAACUCAUAAAAUAAAAAAAUAUUGUAUAUGUUCAAUCUGUUUACGGCCUGUUUACAACGUGUCAGCUUACUAGUCGUGUUGGGUUCAUCAAUUCAAACCACUACACCUCUACUCAAAACCAUCUUUAUUAUGUAUGUAACGUAUACCACCUAAUAGUGUACCUACUUUAUACAACAAGUUAAAUCACAUGCAUCAACUUUUUUUACAUCUAAACCACUUUUAACUAAAGUUUUGAUUCAAAAAGUUCCACUUUAAAUUUGACAUAUCACUUUAUUAAGUCAGCAAAUCAACCUAGCUAUAGCAAGGCCCCAUAUAAUGUGCUCAUAAAUUGGGAUGAACAUUAGCACCACAAGCAUCCCCACCACCCUGAAAAAACAAAUUACAAAAUAAUGAUCAAAACUGUUUAUAAGUCAGAAAACAAAAUUAUAGAAAAGUAAUAAUUGCUUACAGCGAGUACCGGUGAAAAGGGAGCAAUACGAAGGAAGCCACAAUGAGAAGAACAUGACCCACAUCAAGAGAUGUAAAAUAUUUAGCAUAUAUCUUUAUGGGUGUGAAUUUCUGACACGAUCCGAAAACAUGAUACAAACCUAACACGAAAUUCGUGGGUUUGGGUUUAGUAUAAACGGGUUCGGGUCAGUUUCAGGUUGAACCCACGAACCCGUUUAGCUAAACGGGUCAACCCGAUCGGGGUGGCAGGUUGACCCGUUUAACCCAUUUCUAUUAUAUUAUAUUUUUAAAACUAUGUUUUAUGUCAUAAAUUAAAUUGGGUGUGUAUUUUAUGCUAUAAAUAUAACUUAAAAAUGGAAGUUGACAUAAAUUUUUAUGAUUUUAAUGUAAUUUUAUUAUAUAAAUUUGUGUUUUCUUUUUGUUGUAGUGUUAAUUUUAAUAUAUUAAUUUGCUGAA